CUGAGUUUUCAACUCUCCAAACCAUGUGAACUUACCACUGUUGCCUCGGUGGUUUGGGUCUUCGGGCCUGACCACCGGCGGACUACUAAACUCUUGUUAAUUUUCGGCAUUCUGAAUCAUAACUAAGAAAUAAGUUA
rnacentral:misc_RNA from 1 species